UACGAAGGGAGCUAGCGUUGUUCGGAAUUACUGGGCGUAAAGGGCGCGUAGGCGGUUCGAUCAGUCAGGUGUGAAAGCCCCGGGCUCAACCCGGGAAUUGCGCUUGAUACAGUCGGACUUCGAAUUCGGGAGAGGUUGGUGGAAUUCCCAGUGUAGAGGUGAAAUUCGUAGAGAUUGGGAAGAACACCCGUGGCGAAGGCGGCCAACUGGACCGACAUUGACGCUGAGGCGCGAAAGCGUGGGGAGCAAA
rnacentral:rRNA from 1 species